UUUUUGGUGAGGUGGGCUGUUGAUAAUUAUAGUCAUGUGUCUGUAAGCAGACCAUGAAUAAAUGUCAUCCCUUUUUCUAGCUCUGAGAUUUUAAUGAAUGGGUGAAUGAACUACUUUGUUUUUUUCUGAGUUUCUUGAGGGAGAAUUUAGUUGCCACAGGAAAAUCAGGUUUAGUUGGAAUGAUAGACGCUAAAAUGUUUUCCUAGGAAAGUUUGAAUGUAUGAGAAAGAUUCCUGGAAACAGAAGAGGAUUACACAGGAGUGCACUGUGAGAGCAGCUGAAAACAGGGUUAAAAAGAUAAGCAAGUCCAGUUUGAAUCAAAGGUGACAGGCCUGGUCUUGGCCCCAACUUUCAGGACAGCUAGAAGUUGGCCUUGCCCAACAAGAAAGAAGACAGUGGUCUGCCUUUCAGCUCUUCCUCAUGUUGCUGUUCAGCCUGCAACUUUCACUAACCAGAGAUUCUUAAAAGGAGCUAUCAUCAGUGAAAACAAGGAUAUGCCCUAGUUAAUGAUACAAGGUGCCCAGAUGAUCACAUUCCCAUUCCCACUGGUCAAAUACCUGUGGAAUUAGAAGAUGGAUGGCGUGGUGAUUGAAUCUGGAGUCAGGCUGCUUAGUAACAGAAUCCUGGCCUCCUCACACGGUAGGAGGCCUUGAAUGGCCCUGCAAGUUCUAGGAGGGAGGUGUCUUAGGGCGAGCACCUGGCCUUUUCCCCAUCUUGGCUGUCAGUCAUCAUCCCGCCUCGCUACACUCACCUUAUUUCUGGAUCCUGAUUUGAGAAGCCUGGCUCUUGUAGACACCUCAGAGUGACUUCCUAAGGUCGCAGCCACUUAUCUGGUGAUUUUGUAGUUGGCUGAUAUGAAAGAACAGAAGUGCAUGUAUUUCAAACACAUUUAUUGAAGAUCCACUGGAUGCGGGGCGAUGAGAAUUCCGCGGAAAACCGAUGGACAAAAAUCCCGCUCCCCCGAGAGUUCACAUUCUGGUGGAAUUAAAAGUUGCUUCGCAACAUCUGCGCUGUGCUCAUUAUCAGCUCUGCCUGAGGACUGCUUGAAGUUCACUGUUCAGGCAAAGGAAACACAGCUUUCCCAAGGGCCAUUGUAAGCUGGCCUCAGCUCUCUGCGGACAAAAUUUGAAAGAAUAUAAAUUGCAGAGCCGCGAACGAGGCGGGGGUGGGGGUCACUGAGGUGGCGUCUAUUAGCGUCAAUA